rnacentral:rRNA from 1 species
UGAAGCUGGAAUCGCUAGUAAUACGCAGAUCAGAAUGCUGCGGUGAAUACGUUCCCGGGUCUUGUACACACCGCCCGUCACACCAUGGGAGUCGGAAAUGCCCGAAGCCGGUGACCCAACCAAAAGGAGGGAGCCGUCGAAGGCAGGUCUGAUAACUGGGGUGAAGUCGUAACAAGGUAUC